AUGCGUGGAAACAUUCUGCAGAUUUUAAUAUGUCAUACACUAAAAGGCAUUUCUUCUUAUGUCAUCAAAAUUCUCUUGUGGAUAGGACAUGCGGUGCACAGGACAGGCUCCCCGGAGAGUCCUGGAUCAGACUUGCGGGGGGGCGGGGGGUUCCUAUUUCCUACAGUUUUUAAAGCAUUAGCUGUAAAGUCCCAUUCCUCAGCUUUUUUGUGUUUCUCUUUAGGAUACAAAUUAUUACAGUCCAACGCAAUUUUGGGCAAAGUGUCUUUCAACAUUUUCCGUGUGCUUACCAUCACGACGUCUUGCAGGCCUACUUUUGCUCGACCAGCUGACCUGCGUAUCUGCCUGGUGAGUCCCUCUAAGCCUCGCCGAGGCGGCUGUCACACCCUGAAUGGCCCUCAUUCUCCAUCUCGCCUGCGGUUCUUCCCGCGGGCUCCUCUUCCCCUCUGCUGGCUGCCAAGGAGAAGCACAUUGUUGGCCAGGCCCCCAGCACAAGCCUGUCUGCCUCCCUUCCCCCUUUCUCUUUCAGCCAAACCGUCACCUGCCAAGGCCCGGUGGCUGCCGCCCCCUCGUCCGCGGCCUCACGCGCUGACUCGAGUCCUCCCGAGGCCCCCAGCCCGCGCCCCGGUGCUCCAGGCGGCGGCCCCCGCGCCCGCCCUCGCAGCUGCUCCCCCGGCCCUCCUCAGGCUGCUCCCCUGCCUUUCUCCCCAGCCCUCCCCCCUCCCGCAGCGGGUUCCUUCCAGCGCCCCGACCCACUCUGGCCUGAUGUUUUGUUCACACCAGGACCAUGUCUCCUGGGUCCCAGUAGGUACGUGCGUCCCCGGGACAGAGCAUCUUCCCUAUUGGACUAGAACCGACCCCGCCAAACCCUGUGCCUACUGCCUGAGCCCGGAAGGCGGAGGGCGGGAUUCAGGGAGACAGGAGGCCGCGGGCUCGGCUGGUGGACCCCAACAAAGUUUCGGACGCUUGGGACUUGCCAUCUCAGGCUUCCCAAACUUGGCCAGCCGGGCGACCGACCGGAGUCCCCAAGCAGAGCACAAUGAUUCCCAGAGCCCCCUGGCCUUCCACGGCGGCUCGACUGAGGACGCCGGUCGGUCUCCAGGACCAGGCCCGGCCCACACGGGGGUCCGCAGCCUGCGCCCCACCCAGUCCCGGGCAGGGGAGGGGCGCACUUGUUUCUAG
rnacentral:lncRNA from 1 species